UACGUAGGGUGCGAGCGUUUGUCCGGAAUUACUGGGCGUAAAGAGCUCGUAGGUGGUUUGUCGCGUUGUUCGUGAAAACUCACAGCUCAACUGUGGGCGUGCGGGCGAUACGGGCAGACUGGAGUACUGCAGGGGAGACUGGAAUUCCUGGUGUAGCGGUGGAAUGCGCAGAUAUCAGGAGGAACACCGGUGGCGAAGGCGGGUCUCUGGGCAGUAACUGACGCUGAGGAGCGAAAGCGUGGGGAGCGAACAGG
rnacentral:rRNA from 1 species